AUUUAGUUGUUAUUUUCUCUAUCAUGCAAUAACUUUCAUUUUCAGAACAAUUUUUAACAAAACCUUUCAUAUGCACUUUGCUGUCUAUCAACAUGUUUUUAUCCUCUGCGCAUGAUUUGUCAUCCUGGUUACUCAAAGAACAGGCAUAGCAAGUGAGACAACCUGCAGAAAGAAAGAUACAAAUGUAGGAGUCCGGAAUUGUUUGUUUGAUUACAGUAUUGUAUUUAUCUAAAGGAAUC
rnacentral:lncRNA from 1 species